rnacentral:rRNA from 1 species
CCUACGGGUGGCAGCAGUGAGGAAUAUUGGUCAAUGGACGAGAGUCUGAACCAGCCAAGUAGCGUGAAGGAUGACUGCCCUAUGGGUUGUAAACUUCUUUUAUAUGGGAAUAAAACGUUCCACGUGUGGGAUUUUGUAUGUACCAUAUGAAUAAGGAUCGGCUAACUCCGUGCCAGCAGCCGCGGUAAUACGGAGGAUCCGAGCGUUAUCCGGAUUUAUUGGGUUUAAAGGGUGCGUAGGCGGGAUGCCAAGUCAGCGGUAAAAAUGCGGUGCUCAACGCCGUCGAGCCGUUGAAACUGGCGUUCUUGAGUGGGCGAGAAGUAUGCGGAAUGCGUGGUGUAGCGGUGAAAUGCAUAGAUAUCACGCAGAACUCCGAUUGCGAAGGCAGCAUACCGGCGCCUACUGACGCUGAGGCACGAAAGCGUGGGUAUCGAACAGGAUUAGAUACCCUAGUAGUC